CCUACGGGUGGCAGCAGUGGGGAAUAUUGCACAAUGGGGGAAACCCUGAUGCAGCGACGCCGCGUGAGGGAAGAAGUAAUUCGUUACGUAAAGCCCUAUCAGCAGGGAAGAAAAUGACGGUACCUGAGUAAGAAGCCCCGGCUAACUACGUGCCAGCAGCCGCGGUAAUACGUAGGGGGCAAGCGUUAUCCGGAUUUACUGGGGGUAAAGGGGGCGUAGACGGGGCGCCAAGUCUGGAGGGAAAUGCCGCAGGUUAACUGCGGAACUGCUUUGGAAACUGGCGACCUAGAGUGCGGGAGGGGUAAGCGGAAUGCGUAGUGUAGCGGUGAAAUGCGUAGAUAUUAGGAGGAACACCGGUGGCGAAGGCGGCUUACUGGACCGUAACUGACGUUGAGGCUCGAAAGCGUGGGGAGCAAACAGGAUUAGAUACCCCUGUAGUC
rnacentral:rRNA from 1 species